rnacentral:lncRNA from 1 species
UUUUUUUUUCUCUUUUUAUAUUGCACUUUAAUUCGUCCAUCAUUCUUUUAGUUUUCUCUCCCGAAACGGUUUCUAGACCCUCAUAUACGUACAACUACAACUACAAAUGUACGAGAGUACGAAAACCCGGAAUUCUCACCGUUACCAUUUUGUAUACUAUGACGCAAUACCAUGGACGCUCACGAGCUGGCGAUGGAGGUUCAAUUUUUAAAACUAACUGCAAGAAUGGAAACAGUCAGAGAUAUAUGGUAUAAACAACUUUGGUUGUUCAAACUGAUGGUCAAACCAAUGAACAAACAAAUGGAAAUAAAUAACUUGUAGAUAAACUGGAAGAAACCGGGGAACGAUUGAAAUGAAAGUCAACGCAACGAAAGUGUUUUUGUUUUGAUGAGUGACUUGGAAAGCACCAAGGAAAGGUAACAAUAAAUUUAUCAUUCACAUUUUUUAAAUGGAUAAGCAGAAAGAUGUAAGCAUUAAAUUAUCUCUGUGUCGGUCAUAUACCGCCACACCAUGCACAUCGUCCAUACUCUGAAAGACAUCUUCCAUACUUCAUGUACUUCAAGUUUUAGUUUCAAUGAGCAUGUUCAGUUUAUAUCAUAAAAUAUAAUAAUACAACACUAUCCGACAUAUGAAUGGUAUGUUUGUAUCUGGGAAAAUGGUGUUACUAACUAUAUUUUUAUAGUACCAAUGUGCCAAAAAAUAGGGUCGCUGUUUCAUGCCCUGCUGGUUAGAACAGGGUCCCUUUUUCAUGUCCUGCUUGUAAGAACAGGUUCGCUUUUUCAUGACCUUCUUGUGAGAACAGGGUCUUUUUUAAACAAAGUAUUUGUCUUCUAGGGGGGAGGAGGGUUGGAGUGAUCCUGAUUUCAUGUCAUUUUCAUUUUGGAAAGGCAGAUCAUUAAUCGUGUGGCUGUAAUUCUAAAGAAAUUAAAAAAAUUGGGCAUUAGAUUGUUUGAUAGACAUGAUAGAGUAAAAUCAUUUAAUGUAUAGAUAUUCCCCAUUUCCAUUCUCAAUUUUAUUAUCUAUAGGUGUAAUAAAGUCAGAACUGACACGAAUACAGCACAGAAUCGUGAUACAUACAUACUUGCUGUCUGGUGUGAGCCAAGGCUCUGUGUUGAAGGCCGCACCUUGACCUAUAAUGGUUUACUUUUAUACAUUGUUACUUGGAUGGAGAGUUGUCUCAUUGGCACUCAUACCACAUCUUCCUGUACAUAUAACACAAAAAACAAAUAUCCAUAGGUCCAAUGUAUGAUUUUCAUUGACCAAAUUUAAUAGCUUUGUAUAACUUCAAAUUUCAAAUUCCUUAAUUAAUAUCAUGUUUUUUGCCAAAGAUUGGCAUUAAUUUAUUUAUUAAUCAUAACAAAAUCAGAGAUGCAAUAUAACCACUUUCUUUCAUAAAACUGUCUUAUUGAUCAUAGUGAUUUGAUAUGAUGCGUAAGAACAUUAAAAUAAUGAAAUGCUUUUUUUGUAAAUUUUUUAGGGCAAAUCUGUUGGUCUUAUUUUGAAAUGCAAAAGUAAGGCAAUUUUGUCAGUUACAUGUAUCAUAACUUCCUUUUAUCAUGUUUAUGCAAUUAAAAAUUUUUCUUUUAGCAUUUUUAAUGAAAGUACAUGUACUAAAAGAAGUAGGAGAAGAUAACCAACAAAACAGAAGUCACUAGAGGCAAUGCUUUCUAUAUUUAUAUAUAGACUAGUAGUGGAUUUGAAAAGUGCUGUAUUGAUUCAUGUGCAAAUAAAGGAGCAGCGGCCAAUGAAACAUUGCAAUUGUGUGAUGAGAG